rnacentral:rRNA from 1 species
AUUGAACGCUGGCGGCAUGCCUAACACAUGCAAGUCGAACGGCAGCACAGUAAAGACUUCGGUCUUUAUGGGUGGCGAGUGGCGGACGGGUGAGUAACGCGUAGGAAUCUGUCCUGGAGAGUGGGAUAACCCGAGGAAACUCGGGCUAAUACCGCAUGAUAUCGAGAGAUCAAAGGCAGGGGACCCUUCGGGGCCUUGCGCUCUAGGUUGAGCCUACGUCGGAUUAGCUAGUUGGUGGGGUAAAGGCCUACCAAGGCGACGAUCCGUAGCUGGUCUGAGAGGAUGACCAGCCACACAGGGACUGAGACACGGCCCAGACUCCUACGGGAGGCAGCAGUGGGGAAUCCUGGACAAUGGGGGAAACCCUGAUCCAGCGAUGCCGCGUGUGUGAAGAAGGCCUUCGGGUUGUAAAGCACUUUAGGUGGGGAAGAAAGGUAAUGAGUGAAUAACUGAUUGCUUUGACGGUACCCGCAGAAUAAGCACCGGCUAACUCUGUGCCAGCCGCCGCCGUAA